CAGCAGCCACGGGAAUACGUAGGGUGCGAGCGUUAAUCGGAAUUACUGGGCUUAAAGCGCGUGUAGGCGGGAGGGCACGUCCGUCGCUGAAAUCCCCCGGCUCAACCGGGGAACGGGCGCGGAUACGACUCUUCUGGAGGAACGUAGGGGGACCUAGAACUUCCGGUGGAGCGGUGAAAUGCGUUGAGAUCGGAAGGAACGCCCGUGGCGAAAGCGAGGUCCUGGACGUUUACUGACGCUGAGACGCGAAAGCCAGGGGAGCGAACGGGAUUAGAUACCCCAGUAGUCCCUGUCUCUUAUA
rnacentral:rRNA from 1 species